AUUCAAAGGGAUCUUAGAGAAGACCGUGUUGUCAUCACGGAUAAAUUGGUCAUUAAAGCUUGAUGAGGCGUUCCCAUGGAUUUCACAUCGUUUAAAUUGGUGUAUGGGAAGUCUUGCCACUUACCGGUUGAAAUAGAGCCCAACGCGUUUUGGGCGCUAAAAUUCCUUAAUACGCACUUCCUUUAGCGAAAUAUCUAUCACUCCCACUUUUCCAAUUUCAUUCUCCCUCUCCCAUACUUCCAAAACCCUAAUACCAAAUUUUAUUCACUUUCCCCCAAAUUGAAACCUUAAUCUCUACCACCCAUAACUCAAUCGAAGAAUUCCCCCAAUUUCAUUUUCUAAUUUCAAUUUAAGCUAUCACCAACAAUUUCAUUCGGUUCACUCUCUAGCUCGACCCAUUCCGUUUUCACACUCGACCAACAAUCUCAUUCGGUUCACUAUCAUUAAGCUCUCGUUUUCAACAAAUUUCUGCUGGGUUCACUCUCUAGCUCGACCCAUUCAGUUUUUCAACAGAUUUCCACUGCGUUCUUGAUCUCAUUUCACAGAUUUUUCAGAUUUCCACUGGGCUCUUGUUCUCGUUUCACAAAUUUUCAAGAUAUGAGUGAAAGAGAAAAGUUUGAGCUUGAUAGAAAGGAGGAUCCUUUAGAUUGGAGGUUUGUUUGUAUCCUUUUUGUGUCCUCUAAUCAAGCUGGUAUAUAUGGACUCCACAAUGUCUGUUGAGAAGUUUAUGAAAGGGAUGUGGCUAAACUAAGUGAAGAGCAGUCCGAGGUUAGAGAGAUGAUACAAAUUUGAUACUCAUGAGCAGAACCAUGAUGUUGUUGCUGGUACCUAAAGGAAGCAAAAUAACAGGGUUAUUGUCCCUUUUGCAGAGCCGUUGUGCACAUAUUUGAUACGGUGGGAGCAUUGGUGCUUGAUGUUUUCAUGCAUGAACCUGAAGAAGUGGUAAGUCACGUGUUGAUGGCGAUAUGGGGCAUAUGGUAGAAUCAAACAAAUUGGAUAUGGAACCAGAAAAAAAAAAAUCACUGGCUGUUGAGAUUAUAAAUUCAGUUCUAGUUUUGUGUUAUGAGUGGAAGGCGGUUUAGAACAAUGAUGCCAAUGACCCAAAAUCUAGCUAUGCAACAUUGGCUUGAGUUGUUAUCCAUAGUUACUUAUAUUUGUGUUCCUGCUGCAAGAAGUGUUUAGUUUAGAUCGGUGGUAGUCUCAACAUCCUUUUUGGGCAGCAAAUGAGAACGCGUAGUAAAAUGCAAUUAAUCGGGAAAGGCUAACGGUCCCUCAUACAUGUGUUGCUUAGCACCAGUACUUGAGUUGGUUGCACGUGUUGCUGAUGUUACUCCUCUUCCUCCUUGUCUAUUUUUAAUGCCCUUACUUGUUCUCCCAACAUUCCAUCUCCGGCACUCCAAAUUUCAGCAUCAUCGCUGACAACAGCUGGUGAAAAUUUGUCAUUUCCUAGAACAAUUGCAAGCUGAAAUGCAAACCAACUCAAUUUGAGAAUGAAGCAUUUGUCAAAGGGUUUGGAAAGGGACAUGUUGGAUAUGUCAAUUUGCGAAUGAAGCAUUUGUCAAAUUAUUUGGAAAGACAUUCAUCUGAGUCUAGCUAUCGUCUUGAGGAUCAUGGAGCAACUUGAUUAAGGGAUACCUAGAUAUUUUUAUAUAGUUUUUAACUCUGAUACAAUAGUUUUGAACGUCUAGGCGACUUAAAUUUCCACUAGUGUUUUGGUUUUUGAAUGUUUAAACCAUGUACUUUAUCUAUUGUUUUGAUUGUUACUAUUAAAAUAAUUAUAUUUAUGGGAUUUAGAAAUUUUUAGUUA